ensembl:lncRNA
CAUCCUAAAGAUGUAGGUAAUAGUUUUAUAGCAGAGGGAAAAGAAUCAGGUUCAUAAAGGAAAAUGAUUUUCCCGUGUUCUCAUAGUUAGUUCACAGCAGAGUCAGAACCAGACCCUCAGCCCAGAGCCAGAUUUCCCUGUUAGAGAGUCUUCCUUUGAUGAAGGUCUGCUCAUUUCUUAUACUGUAGUCAAAAUCUUACCUGUGGAGGGAAAUCGGAGAGAAUGUUUAUGGCACCCUCUGCAUAAAGGUGGGCUCGCUCCCGUGUCUCAGGUGUCUCUAUAUUACGGCUAAUCUUUCUAACCAACCUUGGUACUAGGGAAGAUACCAAAAGGAUUGUAUCGACGGAUCACAAACUUGUUAUAAGAGGUUGGCUGUUAAAUUUUGUCUUCCACGAAGGGUGUUUCUUACAAACCCAGAGAGAUGUAUAAAUACAGAUAGAACAUCUCUAAGUGAGAGGCUUAGAGGUGAUGGGGACUCUCUCCCUUAAUGCGAGUCAUUAUGAAAACAAAAAUCUAUCUGCUGAAAUCAGUUAGUCUCCGGAUUCUGCUUUGAAAUUAUGUUCCUAUUUCUACAGAGAAUGAUGGUUAAACAUUAAAAGGAACAGAGAAACAGAGGCUCCUUCUGUUACCUUUUAGCCCAAAGGUUUCUCUCUCUUCGUUCAUCAAGAAGACUGGGCUUUGAAAGCCAGAUAGGGCAAGUCAGAAAGGGUGGGAUGGGGAGUCAUCCCUGCCUGGGAUCUGCCAGGUCUGACAAGGCAGAAAAGCGUAGGAGGAGGCCAGGAACAGCAGCCCUCUGAGUUGAAGAAGGCAAAGAAUCAGCCAGAGUGACUUCACAUCGCAGGGGACAGCUCUCGGCAACCUGUGGUGCCUUGUGUGUCCUCCAGCUGGUAGGAGUCCGGUGCCCACAAGUGACCUUACCCUCCCCAGGCAAGGGCAGACGCCAGCGAGGUCAUGAGACGCCUCCAACCUUCCCCGCUUGUGCGGAAACCUGCAUUCCUACCCCAAACAAUUCUUGUCUCAUCACCGGCUGCUUCCUCCUGACCCAAAACCUCUGCUCUAAACUACCCGAAGUUCAACUCCCUGCUAUCCUGACUUUGCCAGGAUCUUUUCCACCUGUGGUAUCUUUUUUCACCUUUUCUUUGAACCAAACCAUGUAUUUCACCUCCUACAUAAUAGCAGUCGUUCGCUCUGAUCUGCAGUCAUUCAUUCCCUUCAUAAAACCCGAGGUCGACUCAUCCCCAUCCAUUCUACGCGUUAAGCGUCCAUCUUGCAGGCUCCUUCUUGGAUCAUGGGCAGAAACAUACAAGGGAUGAAAAUGAUCUUCAUCUGGAUUAUGGUGGUGGUGACACACGUAUAUACAAUUGUUCAAACUCAUUGACUGGUAUGCUUAAAAUCUGUGUAAAUUUUACUUAACGAAGUUGACUGCCCACACGCCCACCAAAGCCCUCCCAUGUUGGACGAAGAGGGUCCUGAUACCCUCACAUAUUCUCUAAGUCUAACUUAGGAACAAAACUGGGCCGGGCGACAGAGAAGAUGCAGAAAUUAAAAGUGCACUUUCCAGGAAUAAAUUUUUUAAAUGAGAGUCUUUGAGCACCUAUGAUAGGGAGGUCCUGGGUCUAUGAAUAAAACUAUCCCUGAUAUAAGCUUAUAUAGUCUAAUACGGAAGACAGAAAAGUAGAAAGUCCCAGUAAAGUGGGUAAUUGCUAAGAUAGAGGCAAGAGUAGGGAACUAAGGAGGUGAUCGAACCCAGCUGAAGCACAGAAGUCUUUCUGCAGGAAGCCCGUAAUGAGCCCUAGGGAUCAGGAAGGAUCACCCAGCAUCACUAGUAAGAAGCAGCAACCAGAAAGUACCAGACACGUGUGUGUGUGUGUGUGUGCCUGUGUGUGCGCACGCACGCGUGUUCAGUGUCUUGAACUGGACCACAGCUCUGAAGUCCUGGGACUCUUCACCAUAUAGAAGCUUGGGUAUCACAUUUGGGUUGGAAGCUGAUUUAGGGACUGGAAAAUUAUCAGCAUAUGCAAACUCGUGAUCAUUUUGUUCGGGGGCUCAACAGAGCAGCCAGGUUAGCUGUGGUCCCUUUUCUUUAGGAGUUUGGUUUAAUCUAAUUUCAUUUGUUAUUUCUGACUCUGUUGGUUACCAGUCAAGGAAUCGUCUUCCUUGGUCAGAGACUCAAUGCUUUAUUGCAAAUAUAAAGAAAGAUUUCCCGUUUGUUGAAACUUCAGAAAUGGCUUUCUAAUGGCCAGCCUUUAUCCAAUUUCUCAAAGACAAUUUGUGUAUCUCUCAAGAUGCUUGUCCUAAGGAUAUCUUCUCAUUCCAUCCUUUCUCCUUUCCUCCCAUGACUUCAGUUACCAUCGACAAGUUCAGAAUUCCUGAUUUUGCAUCUCUUCUUAGUUCCAUUCGACCCAGUUGCUUACUGGGUCAUAAUAAUCUUCUUAGCUCCACAAUGACCCAGUUGUUUACUGGGCCAUAAUAAUAACAAACACUUCUGUAGCACUCACUCUGUGACAGGCACCAUUCUGAGCACAUUCAUGAACCAACUCAUUCAGUCUUUGCAGCAACCCUUUAAGGAAGGUGCCAUCGUUGUAGAUCAUCCUCCCGGAUGCCUUCCAGACACCUCAAACUCAGCAUGCCCACAAAUGAUGUCACAAUCACUCCCCUAAAACCCGCACCGCAUCCUUAUACAGUUCACAUUUCAUUAAAUGACACCAUCUUCCCACUGGGUGCUCAACCAUGAAACCUGGAAAUCUUCCUUGACCUUUUCCAUAUUCAAUCUGUAUUCAGUCAACCACAUUUGCUCUGCUCUCCCAGUUUUUCUUAGGAGAGGCAGCAUCAGGUCGUGGCUAAAGCUUUAUCUUUGGAGCCAGAUGGUUUAGGUUUGAAUCCGAUUCUGCCACUUGACAACUGCAAGUCCUUAUAGAAGUUACUUAAACUCUCUGAGCCCCAGUUUCAUUGGGAGAAUUAAAGGAGUCAAAACACGGAAAGCAUUUAGUAUGGUGCUUGAAAUAUAGUAAUGAAGUAUGUCUUCAUCUGUCUCAGUUUCACUAAAAAGAACAAGGCAAACGGUGACAGCAGACCUGGGAUUAUAUCCCUUUCUGCCCUUUACCGUCUGUGUGACUUGGCCCAGGUUGCUUGAUUCACUGGGCCCAGCUUCUUUCUCUGUAACGUGGAGAUGAUACGACCCACCCACGUGGCCAUUGUGAGGAAUAAAGGAGAAACUGGGUGUAAAGUCCCCAGCAAAAUGCUUGGUAUAUAAUAGUCACACAAUAAAUGUUAUUCCUCUUCUCCCCCAUUCAUGGCAGUUACUCACCCCAUCCAUGUCUAAGAAGAAAAUAGUUAGUUGCCAGAGAAGCAUCUGGAAUGGGAAGGAGACAGGGAGCAAAUCAGCAGAUUUGUCAGCUUUGUCAUUAACUACGGGGUUUAGAAUCCUGGGCAAGAAUUGUGCCUGACAUUCCCAUCUCUCUUGCACUUUAUCCUCUUUUUUUUUUAGAGAGCCGAGUAUCCAGUUAGCUUGUAAAUCACGACCUAUGUUCUGUCUGUGCACUGAUGUCCAAUACUCAAAAGCACAAGCUCCAGCUCCAGCUGCGUCACAAGUGCACUGCUGAGCGCCUUUUCAUUUCCUAAUUUAAUGGUGUGUCAGUGGGGUUUGGGGGGAGAAGGGCCUAGAGGGACACAGGGCCGUCCUUACCCCAUCAGCUGGAAGGCCGGGCCCACCAUGGAAGCAGUGGGCACGGGUUAGCACAUUGUGUGUGGUCCCAGUGAAAAAUGAAGAUGCAGGACACUUGUUCAAAAAGUAUUAAGCAUUUCAGGAUGGCAUUAGCAGAGCAUGAAACCAAACUCAGAGCCCUCCUGAGCCGGGGCCCUGUGGGACUUCCCGGGGCACCCACCUAUGCAGUGGCCCCGGUGGGGAGGACCCAACUCUCUUUUCCACAUGCUCCCUGUCGCCUCCCCUUAGUGCUCGUAAAUCGCCCCAAACUUCCUUCCUCAGGCCUGGCUUCAUCUUUUCACCCACUGCCCAACUCAAACCUCAGAAAAGCUGACCUUAAGAAGCAGAGUCCUGACAUCAGAUCUCUGAUCUCUGCUCCUCCAGUGACCUUCACUCCUUCUCUUUAUAAAAAGCAAAGAUGGUAACGAUAAAGACGUGCUGAUUUUUUUUUUUAGCUUUUUAUUUUAUAUUGGAGUAGAGUUGAUUAACAGUGUUGUGUUAGUUUCUGGUGUACAGCCGAGUGAUUCAGUUAUACAUGUGUCUAUUCUUUUUCAAAUUCUUUUCCCAUUUAGGUUAUUACAGAAUAUUGAGCCUUGCUCCCUGUGCUAUACAGUAGGCCCUUGCUGGUUAGCUAUUUUAUUUAUUUAUUUAUUAUUAUUGUUUUUGCGGUACGUGGGCCUCUCACCGCUGUGGCCUCUCCCGUUGCAGAGCACAGGCUCCGGACGCGCAGGUUCAGCGGCCACGGCUCACGGGCCCAGCCGCUCAGCGGCAUGUGGGGUCUUUCCGGACCGGGGCACGAACCCGCGUCCCCUCCAUCGGCAGGUGGACUCUCAACCACUGCGCCACCAGGGAAGCCCCAUUUAUUUAUUUUUUAUUGGAGUAUAGUUGUUUUACAACUCUGUGUUAGCUUCUACCGUACAGUGAAGACGUGCUGAUUUUUGAAAGUCAAUAUUUAGUGGGUGAUUUUUAGUUCCAGACAAAGGGCUUUCAACAUAAUUUUCCUGUUUAAUCUUUAAGACCGUCUCACCAGUAGUUACUGCUUUACCUCCAUCUUAUGGAGUAAAUUAUAGAUUUAGAAAGAUCAACUAUUCUGUCCAAGGUCACACAGUGAACAGGUGGAAGAGCUGGGGUUAGAACCCAAGUUCUCUGAUUCCAGAGCAAGCGCAGAGCUUUCAGAGUCUGGAGGGAUGUGUAAUAGGACAGAAUCAACAACAGCAAACC